AUCAGUUAAAAUGAGAUGACAGUGUUAUUUUUAUUCUUGCGUAAGUUAGACGACAGUUCAUAUAUAUCUAUAUUUAUGUGUGCGCGCGCGCGUGUGUGUAUAUCUGUGUGUGUGUCUUUUGCGUACCUUUGUCCCCCGUCACUAGCGGUUCGGCAAAAUAGAUCGAUAGAAAAAGUACUAGGCUUACAAGAAUCGGUUCUGGGGUGCGUCAACUAAAACAUUUUAAGGCGGUGCUCAAGCAUGGCUGCAGUCGAAAUGACUGAAACAAGUGAAAGAAUAAAAAAAGUGUAUUACAGUGAGAGAUAGAGAGAGGGACAGAGAAAGAGUUUCACUUGCUGUGAGAGAGAGUGGGGAAAGAGAGGAGGAGGGAAAGAAACCCGUCGUAUAUGUGUGUGCGUGUGCGUGUGUGUGUGUGUGUGAGAGUGUGUGCGUGUGUGCGCGGAUUUGUGUCUGUUUGUCUCCCCCAACACCAUCUUUUGACAACCGAUGUUAGUGUGUUUAUGUCCUCGCAAAUUAGUGGAUGGGCAAAGGAGACCGAUAGCAUAAGUACCAGGCUUACAAAGACUAAGUCUUGGGGUCGAUUUUUUCGACUAAAAGGAGGUGCUCCAGCAUGGCUGCAAUCAAAUGACUGAAGCAAGUAAAAGAAUAAAAGAAUGAAAGAAUCGCCAAGAACGAUGAUGCGUUGUUCUAUUGUUGUCUUUGUUUGCACUAUCUGCAUUGCCUGCUAAUUUCGUCUUCCCUUGCAAAAUAUGUGUACCUGAAUGAGUGAUCAUCACUCAGAUUACCUCAUUUAAAUCAAUGGUUCCUAAACGUAUUCAGGCUACCGACCCCUUGGCACCCGGGUCACAUUCCUAGUGCUCCCCCUCCACUCUCCACCACAAACGUACACCACUUGCUGCAUCAAGUUCAAAACAACUGCACUUCACAAAUAAAACAUACCCUAAUUAGGCGCAGGAGUAGCUGUGUGGUAAGUAGCUUGCUUACCAACCACAUGGUUCCGGUUUCACUCCCAGUGCGUGGCCUCUUGGGCCAGUGUCUUCUACUAUAGCCUCGGGUCGAACAAAGCCUUGUGAGUGGAUUUGGUAGACGGAAACGGAAAGAAGCCUGUGUACGUAUGUGUGUGUAUAUGUUUGUGUGUCUGUGUUUGUCUCCCCAAUAUCGCUUGACAACCGAUGCUGGUGCGUUUACGUCCCCGUAACUUAGCGGUUCGGCAAAACGUACCGAUAGAAUAAGUACUAGGCUUCCAAAGAAUAAGUUCUGGGGCCGAUUUGCUCGUCUAAAGGCGGUGCUCCAGCAUGGCCGCAGUCAAAUGACUGGCACAAGUAAAAGAGUAAAAGACUAAUUAACUGAUUAAUUUGGGUUUUUUUACAUCCAUCACCCACCUUUUGGCCACCCCUCUAUCGCUCUACUUUUCUCUAACGACCCCUGUAUCUUUCGACAGCCCCAAAGGUGCAAUACCACCCAGUUCGGGAACAAGUGAAUUAAAGCAUCCUAUUUCACCUAGAUAAUCUUGUGUGCGGAAUUUUUGCCUUUCCUAAUUGCGUAUGAUUAGGAAAAGUAUGUGAGCGCACGCACAAGGCCCCUGCUUUGAGGUAACAGUGUAUACCACCUCAUGUGUUUUAAUUCAAGUCUAAAAUAUUCAUAACCCGGUCGUAAAACGAAGGCACUGGCUUGUUUGUGUAGUUAAGUAGCCCGCUUUGCACUCUUGUGGUUUAGGUUCAAUCUCACUGCGCUACACCUUUGGCAAAUGUUUUUUUUUUAUUAUAGCCACGGACCGGCCGAUGUCUUUUGAGCAUUGGUCGGUUUGAUGAACGGAAAGUAUGCGGAGGUCCAUCGUAAAUGUAAAUAUUUAUGUACUUGUGUUUGACACCCACACCACCGCUUUACAACCGGUGCUGGGUUUUUUUUAUGUCCCUGUAGCUUACUUGUUCGGCAAGAGACAAACAGACUAUGCACCGGACUUUAAAAUAAAGUCGAUUUGUUUGACUAAACACUUUAAAGUGGUGCCCUAGCUUGGUCGCUGUCCAAUGACUGAAACAAGUAAAAAUUUAAAAUAAGUGAAACAAAAUAUAGUAUUAGUAUCUUUUCGGUUUGACCGGCAGUUUUUUAAAAUAAUUUCCACGUAACUAAACACUUUUAAACUUCGUAUACUGGUAGAAUGUGUUUAUAAAACAACUUUUUCUCUUGGCUUUAUUGAGAAAAUCCUAUAGUUUGUAAGAUAGUUGUUGUUUUUUUCUUCAAUUUCUGCAAUUUCAACCAAUCAAUGACGUCUAUUGAGGUGAAAACAUUCUGUGCCGUAUGAAUAUGUCCCUCAUUUAAGAAACAGACUGGGUUUAUUUACAUUUCUGAAUAAAAAAGAUAUCCUUCCCCCACCCCUAACCCUAACCCUAAAACAUUGAAAUGCAAUAGAUCGAUACUAGGGUCAUAAUUAUGGGUGACAAUUUCAUAUGACACCGCUAGAAAAAACUGCCGUUCAAACCGAAAAGAUCCUAGUAUUAUUCCCCAUGACUUCUAUCAGCUUUCUUCUUUUACCUUUGACAGAUACACAACUACACUGUUAGACAUUUUUUUUCUUUCCAUACAUCCACUUGGACGUCAAAAACGAUCUCCUUUUUUAAGAUAUAUUUAUGUUCAGUAUAUAACAGUUAUUUCUUUUUGCAACACUUUUAUUGACAUUUGUUGCAAUUAUUCGUUCAUUUUAUUAUGUGCCAAUCGUGGGGAAUUUUUUAUUGAAAAAUUCCUACUUUCUAGUCAGUUACACAUUUAACAAAUGCCAGUUCAUAUUCGGUGACAAAUUUCUGUUAUCACCUUCCACAUUUUGUUUAUCUUUUUUUAGUAUCCGAAAAUUUCUUCUUAGUUAGUUAGUUAGUUAGUUAGUUAAUUUUUUGGCUCAAAAAGCAAAAAAGCAAGGCCAUGUAGGGGGACAUGGAGUUAUGUACAGGGUGGUGUUCAUGUAAAGAGUUCAGGCUUUGAACCGAGCGGUUGUCGGCAUCUUCACCAUCUCGUCCGGCAGCUUCAUAAUGAAUGGUUACUAAUAUAUAUUUUUUGAGCUUGCGUUUCUUUAUUUGUACCUGGUUAAAAUUAUUUGUACUAUUUGUACCUGGUUAAAAUUAAAAUUACAGAACAAAAUCUUAUUAAAGUUUUUAUAAAUACUGUUAUUCACUAUACUGUACUAAACUUAUCAAUAUGGUUACGGGUUCAGUUCCACUCCGUGGCAGGCACCUCGGGCAAGUGUCUUCUACUAUAGCCUAGGGCCGAACAAAGCCUUGUGAGUGGAUUCGGUAGACUGAAGCUGAAAGAAGACUGUCAUAUAUAUAUAUAUGUGUGUGUGUGUGUGUGUGUGUGUGUGUGUGUGUGUGUGUGUGUGUGUGUGUGUGUGUGUGUGUGUGUGUGUGUGUGUGUGUGUGUGCAUGUGUGUGUGUGUGUGUUUCUGUGUUAGUCCCUCUACUCUUCUCUUGAAAACCGAUGUUGGUGUGUUUGCGGUUCGGCAAAGGGGCCGACAGAAUGAGUACUAGGCUUACAAAGUAUAAGUCCUGGGGGUCAAUUUCUUCGACUAAAUCCCUUGAAGGAGGUGUUCCAGUAUGGCCGCAGUCAAAUAACAGAAAAAAAGAAAAUAUUACUAUGCAUUUGAAUUCCUUUAUAAAAUAUUCGUAAUCCAGCUGUAAAAAUAUAACCUCGGUGCUUUGAGAUAUAUUUUCUUUCAACAUUUAAAGAUAUCUCCUUUUCUAGCUCUAUACAGCUCAAGCCGUUACUUCAUUUGAUUAUCCUCUCUUUGGACAGUCGCACCUUUUACUUUUCUAACUCUACAUAGUUCAAUCCGUUACUACAUUUGAUUAUCCUGUCUUUCUUUGGUCUGUCCCACAUUUUGCUUUUCAUUCAUUGUUAAUAUUUUAAAGAAUGUUCUUCGCGUUUUUUUUUUCUUUUCUCACUACUGUCCCUAUGAAGAGCCUGAGACGUUUUGGUAUAGCCGUUCUGGCACCUCCGAUUCGACGCUGACUUGUUUGACAUCAAACGUUUAAUGCUUGAUGCAUUCUUUCCAUCUCUCUUUCCUUCUCCCUCUCCUUCUUUCUCUCUCUCUCUUUCUCUCUCUCUCUCUCCCUCAAUGUGUACGCGAGCAUCUAGAUACGUUUGUAUGUAUGUGUAAUAUCUUUCUCUACCCCCUUUUUCUUUCCAAUUUUAUCUAUUCGUAUACUUCUGCGCCCGCAGACGGCCAUGUGUUUCAGGCGAGCGAGCGUGUGUAUGUGUGUGUGUGUCUGUGUGUAUGUGUGUGUGUGUGUGCGUGUAAGUGCGUGUCUGGCUGUCUGUCUAUCUGCCAGUCUGUCUAUCUGCCAGUCUGUCUAUCUGCCAGUCUGUCUGUCGCCAGUGCAAAAACAGUACCGUCACCGAAACAAGCUGAAUGUACCGUCAGACGUGCCAAACUGCCACGCCCAGUCUUCACGUUCCCCCUUUUAAAAAAUAUUGUUAAAUGUCAGUUAAGAAGUUCGUAAAGCAGAUAUUGAAGAUGAGACUCUCAAAUAGGCCCAAAAUUAGUAGAAACUCUUUCCAAACUAUCGUAUAUAUUUUAUCAUUCCUUCAGUACUCUUCUCUCUCUCUCUCUUCUCCCUCCUUCAUUCACAUAUUAACACACGUUUUCUCUCUCUACUCUUCUCUCUCCCCACCACUCUUUACUUCACUUUUCUCCUCAUACGGCGCAGGUGUGGUUGUGUGGUAAGAAGCUUACUUCCUAAUCAUAUGGUUCCGGGUUCAUUCCCAUUGCAUGGCAGGCUGGGGAAGUGUCUUCUGCUAUAGCGUCGGGGCGACCAAAGCCUUGCGAGUGGAUUUGGGAGACGGAAACUGGUAGAAGCCCAUCGAACACACACACACACACACAUAUGUAUGUAUGUAUGUAUGUAUGUAUGUAUGUAUGUAUGUAUGUAUGUAUGUAUGUAUGAGUAUGUAUGUAUGUGUAGUAAUGGAAACACCUUAAAUUUUCAAACAAAUUUAUUUUAAUAUAGGGUAGGACCGCAUUUGGCAGUAAUUACAGCGUGAAUUCUACGAGGUAUGGUCUCGUACAAAGUUUGAAUUGUUUCCAAAGGAAUUUUUGUCCAUUCUUCUGCAAAAGCAGUCUCCAGUUCUUGUAAUGAUGAUGGUGGAGGAAAUCGACUCCUUACUUGUUUUUCUAAAAUGCACCAUAACUGUUCAAUAAUAUUGAGAUCUGGGGACUGUGGUGGCCAGGUGAGAUAUUCAACUUCACAAUAAAGUUCCUUUUGCCAUUCAACAACAACUUUAGCUGUGAGAAUUGAUGCAUUAUCAUCCUGAAAGAUUGCGUUUCCCUCUGGAAACAGUUUCACAACCAUAGGAUGAAUUUGAUAGGAUAAAAUGCUUAAAUAGUCUUGACUUGAAGGGAAGACAUUGGGUCGGUGGUUUUCCAAGAUAUAGCCCCCCCACCACCACCACCACAACCACCGAUCAUCACAGAUCCUCCUCCAUGUUUACCAGUUGGAAGAAGGCAGUCGGGGUCAAAUGCGUCUUUUGGCUGUUUCCACACGUAUACUCGGCCGGUGGUCGGAAAUAAGGUAAAGGAUGACUUGUCCGAGAAAAUAACAUUGUUCCACAGCUCUAGGGACCAAUUCUGUAGGUUUUUACUCAACUCUAAACGCUUUUCUGAUUGCAGCCCUCCUGUGAAAUCCAGCUUUGUGCAUCUCCUGGCGAACAGUUUUUUGUGGAAACUAGGUUCUAGAGGUGGUCAUUAAUCUCUGCAGUAAUUUUGGGAGCUGUUCUUUUGUGAUCCUUUCUCUAACAAUUCGAGUAAGAGUCCGACAGUCCCUAUCAGAAAGUUUUGGUUUUCUUCCGGGGUUUUGUUUCGACGAGGAGGUUUUUCCUUCUUUCUCAAAGGCUGUCAUUACUUUCGAGACAGUACUUCUUGAUACAACAAACAUUUCGGCCGUCUUCAUUAUGCUAGCGCCUGCCAUACGUGCACCAACAAUUUAACCUCUUUGAAAGUCCGACAGAUCUGUCAUUUUAAUGAAUUUUAAUUACCUUUUUCUGAUGAUAUCUGAAAAGAAUCAGCAAAACAUAUUAAGCAACACUAAUAAUAAAUCAAAAAACAUAAAAAUAUACAAGCUUUUGACGGUUUUAUAGAUAUUUUAAAAUUAUGAUGCUAUGAUGCUAGGUGUUUCCAUUAUUUUAUCCAACCCCUGUAUAUAUAUGUGUGCGUGUGUGUGUUUGUUUGUUCCCAGUACCCCUUGUGUCAGUGUUUGCCCAGGACCACCAACUGACAACCAGUGUUAGUAUGUUUAUGUCCCCAUAACUUAGCGGUUCGGUAAAAAAAAGACCUAUAGAAUAAGUACCAGGGUUACCAAAAAAAUUAAUUACUGGGGUCGAUUCUUUCGACUAAAAAUUCUUUGAGGUGGUGCACCAGCAUGACCGCAGUCUAAUGACUGAAACAAAUAAAAUAGUAAAAUUCUUUGUUCGCACCCAUAUCUCCGAAUCAGUCUUUAAGAGUAUCUUCGCUAACUAGAGAUAUGAAAAUGUAGAGAAAAUUUAUUUUAUUCGUUAAAGCAAAAUUAGAUAAAAAUUGUAACUUUAUAAAAAAAAAGACUCAAUUUGACAAAUUUCGUAGGGAUUUGAUGAAUCCAGGUGCAAGCAUGGAAUAGUUACCAAUGUUGAAAUAAAACGAUGGAUGCAUUCAAUAUUAAUUAUUUCAAAUCUUGGUACAAAACCAACAAAUUAAGGGUAGAGGGAAGUCGAAAAUAUAUAUACCUGUUGAAUAUUGGUAUUUUAUUUUAUCGGCCCCGAAAGAAUGAAUGGCAAAGAUCGACCUCGGCGGAAUUUGAAUUCAGAUCGUAAAGAAAUAAAAGAAGUGACGGAAAGUAUUUCGUCCGAUGUGCUAACGAUUCCGCCAGCGUUGUCUUCAGAUACAUUUAAUAAAAUAAUCCUUUCUGGUAUAGGAACAAAGCCUGAAAUUUUUGUAGAGGAGCAAGUAGAUUACAUGAACCCUAGUACAUGACUGGUACUUAUUUCAUCGGCCCAGAAAGAAGGAAAGGCUAAGUUGACCUUGGUCGAUUGUGAACUCGGAAAGCAAAGUCGGACGAAACGCUACUAAGCAUUUCGUCUGGCAUGCUAAUAAUUCUUUCUACUUUAGGCACAAGGUGUUGAAAUUUUUGGUGGGGAACGGGCUAGUCGAUUAGAUCGACCCCAGUGCGAAACUGGUACUUAUUUCAUUGACUCCGAAGGGCAAACUCGACCUCAGCGGAAUUUGAACUCAGAACGUAACGGCAGACGAAAUACCUAUUUCUUUACUACCCACAAGGGGCUAAACACAGAAGGGACAAACAAGGACAGACAAACGGAUUAAGUCGAUUACAUCGACCCCAAUGCGUAACUGGUACUUCAUUUAUCAAUCCCGAAAGGAUGAAAGGCAAAGUCGACCUCGGCGGAAUUUGAACUCAGAACGUAGCGGCAGACGAAAUACGGCUACGCCUUUCGCCCGGUGGGGUAACGAUUCCGCCAGCUCACCGCCUUAUAAUAAUAAUUUUCAAAGUUUGGCACAUGGUCAACAAAUUUGGAUGGGAGAGAAGUCAAUUACUACUUAUAUUAUCGACCCUGGAAGAAUGAAAGGCAAAGUUGACCACGGUGGAAUUUGAACUCAGAACGUAAAGACAGACGAAAUGCUGCUACGCAUUUUGUCCGGUGUGCCGACGCAUCUUCCAUCUCACUGCUUUAUAUCUAAUUAUAAUAACAGUUAAUGCAAUUACAGAGGGGAGUUCCUCUAAGAUCAAAAAACAUCAGUAGAAUCUAUGUAGAUAGACAAAUACACAAAGCCAACAUCGAGCAAUGGCAUUUGAAAACGAUAUCUUCAGCUUAAAUUUUAUUAUUUUGGCUAAUUGUAUUUCCAAAGUAUUAUACAUAAAAUUAUUGGGAAUUUUAAUUGUAGUGAGGCUGUAUGAUUAGUAUUUAUUUAUCUUUCAUUUUCCUUUUGAAAAUAACUGUGGAGGCAUCGUGCGACUUGCAAUCAGGGCACUGCAAAAUUUUAUUCCACAAGCUCUGCGGAAUCUAUCUGUAUCACAAAUAAGUUUAGUAACUUCACGUUCUCUUCUUCUUCUUCUUCUUCUUAUUAUUAUUAUUAUUAUUAUUAUCAUUAUUAUUAUUAUUAUUAUUAUUAUUAUUUCUUCUUCUUCUUCCUUCUUCCUUCCUUCCUUGCUUCCUUCUUUCUUUCUCUCUUUCUCCCUCUCAAUAUACAUAGAUUCCUAUGUAUGCAUACAUAUGUGUAUGUAUAUAUAUAUAUAUAUAUAUAUAUAUAUAUAUAUGUUACGGAGAUGUACUUGCAUAGCGAGUGUCUUGAUCUGAGAUCAUGUGCUGGAACGAAAACAAAGCGAGGAAAAUAUUUUGACAAAUUAAAUUCAAAUGUUGAAGUGAAUCUAACGGGUUUUGUGUGUUUCUUAAAUGGCUUAUAAACACCUUCCACGCUGCAAUUGUUUUAUAUAUAUAUAUAUAUAUAUAUAUAUAUAUAUAUAUAUAUUUGUCUAUCAAGCUAUCACUCUCUCCCUUUUACUCACGCACUCUCUUUCUUAAGAUAUAUAUAAGUAGAUAGAUAGAUAGAUAGAUAGAUAGAUAGAUAGAUAGAUAGAUAGAUAUGUAAGUAGGUAGAUAGGUAGGUAGGUAGGUAGGUAGGUAGGUAGAAGAAUGGGUGAAUUUCCAUGAAUAUACAGGUAGGUACAUAGCUACCGACAUAUUUUUCUGUUCAUAUGUCUAUGUGUGGGUAUUCUCUGCAAGUAUAUAUUUAUAUACAUAUGUGUGUGUGUGUGUAUUGUGUGUGUGUUGUGUGUGUGUGUGUGUAUGUGUUUGGCGUAUGUGUGUAUGCGUUUCUUUUUUCUUUUAUUCUUUUAUUUGAUUCAGUCAUUUGACUGUGGCCAUGCUAGAGCAGCACCUUAAAGGGUAUUUUACUCGAAUAAAUCGAUCCCAAAACUUAUUCUUUGUAAGCCUAGUACUUAUUCUAUCGGUCUCUUUUGCCGCGGACCGCUAAGUUACGGGGACGUAAACACAGCAACAGCAUCGGUUUUCAAGCGAUGGUGGCGGGGAAAAACAUAAACACAAAGACACACACACACAUAAAUGUAUACAUAUAUAUAUAUGAGAGUGUAUCUGACACUAAUUAAUUUAUCACCACCAACAAGAACUUAACUGUCAAUUCCCAAUGAAUUUCAAUCUAAGGGCUUGUAGAUAGCAUGCUGCAUUAAGUCUUUUGAAUGUGAUAAAAAUAAAUAAAAAUGUAGCUAUUCACCUUUCCUCUUUCUUCACCCCCCAUUUUUUCCUCUGUUACUCUAAAUUACAGUAGGCUUUAGAUAUACAUUUUUUUUCCACUAAAUUCAUUCUGCCACAAAAAUAGCAAAAGGAAACGAUGUAAUUAUUUCAGUAUCUUGUACUGAUGAAAAUUUGCUAAAAAAUAAUCGUUUACCUUUUAUGUUGGAAAGUGAUAAGGUCGUCUGCGUCCGAGGAGAGCAGUUUAUCUCAAACUGAUGUAAUGUUUUCAUCGAUCGAUCAAAUAGAGCCGCUUGAAACGGCCUGCUUUCUAUUCACCUAACGUCAAGCUGCGUGGACUAUACCGAACUGGCUUGCUGCCUCAAUUUAAGCACUUAAUUCACUUGAAUCCUUAUUAUAUAUAUAUAUAUAUAUAUAUAUAUAUAUAUAUAUAUAUAUAUAUAUAUAUAUAUUCAUAAAAAUGUUAAGACAACAAAAGAAUGAAAGAGACCUCGAUAUUAUGUAAAUAGAGGAAUUUACCUGUAAAUGUAAUAUGUGACAAUUAUUCGGUAGCCAUGAUAAAACUACGAGUUUCGGAUGCCGAGGUGGAAAUCCACGCCGCCAUCUCUUCAGUUAUCCGGCCAUUGGAAAAAUGAUAUGAAAAAUUACCGUUAUGCAAAGGGAAAUUACUGUGUGAUUGACCGUUAUUAAGACAAAAGAGCUAUUUGAAAGACCGCUAAGUGAAGAGAGGGAGUAAAAGCAAGGGGCUAAAAAAGUUCAUAGUAUUCGCGUAAGCACGCAUGUUCAUACCUACACAUGUGCGCCCGAACACCCAUAUAUAUAUAUAUAUAUAUAUAUAUAUAUAUAUAUAUAUAUAUAUAUAUAUAUACGACGUGUUUCUUUCCGUUUCUGUCUACCAAAAUUCACUCACAAGGCGUCACUUGACCCGAGUCUAUAAUAGAAAACCCUACGUAUCUCUAUUAUGCGUUUCAGCUGUGCUGCUGCACUCAUGCUGGAGCAACACCGUAACUUUGCACUCUUUCCACAGACCUCUAAUGCAGUUGGUUUCUUCUGGGUGAUGGAAUUUCACAUCACCCCUCAUACAUGUGAGAUAUUUUUCCUGGUCUUUGGCGAAUUUGGUGUAUGAAUGAAUGUGACAAUGCCACCUUUGUUCUUACUUCAUGCCGGGGCGUUGGUUUUAACUAGUAUUGUUGACAGGAAAAUUCCCAAUUCCUUUUUGAAAACAUUCACUUCCACAUUGUGAUGGUUUCUUAAUUAUUUUGACAGAACAUUGAAGAGGUGUGAGCCAUUGUACUCUGGGCCUUACUUUGGAUGGAGGAGAUGGUACGUUUGUUAACAUACAAUAGCGUCCAGUACGGACCAAAGUAAGGUACUAGCACUUCCAGAAUUUUUACAUAUAAAUUAUUACAUAUCUCUCAAGUUUUAUUCCAGGGAAUCAAGUUGUAGUUUUAUCAGGUUCUCCCAGUAGUUCAUCUGCACUGCAGUAAUAUAUAUGUGAGGGCGUGUGCCGAUGUGUGUGUGUGUGUUUGUGUGUAUGUCUGUAUGUGUAUGUAUGUAUGUAUGCGUAUGUAUGUAUGUAUGUAUGUAUGUAUGUAUGUAUGUAUGUGUGCUCUGCGAUCAUUUUGACAUCUGAAAUGUGACACCGGUUGCACCUAUAUGGGUAAUAUCGAUUUGAUGGAGGGAACGAGCUUAUGUCUACACAAACAUUUCAUCACUAUAAACAAAUCAUUUGUGGGGCUGUUCGGUAAAAGAUUGUCGAACCCUCCAUACGUCGUCUAACGACAGGAAAGUCCAUCAUAUAUGUAUAUUUAAUUAUAAGAUUCUAUCAAAAAUUAGUCUUGAAUGUUUGAAAGAAAUAUAUUUAGAAGAUUGUAAAUGUGAUAAUUCGAAGUUAGUUAUAAAGAAAUGUUUAUACAGGAAAUUUAGAUAUUAUUAAAAAUAAGGAACUAAGGGAGAUUAUGAGUAAAGGGACAAAACACAGAGAACACAGUUACAUUAGUAAAUAUAAUUAAAAGAAAGUUAUAUUAAAAGCUAUUAAUGAAUUCAUAGUUAAAUUAAGUCUCAAAUAUAAGGUCAAAUUGGAGGAGUUCAGUAGCUGGAUUAGCACAUUAACUUAUAUGGUAGUUAAAAAUAAGUGGAUGGGGAAAGAUUCAGUUCUGAAUAAACCACUAAUUAAAGAAUAUAUAAAUGAAUUACAUAAAAAGUAUGUAAUAGUACCAGCAGAUAAAGCAACUGAGAAUUUUGUAGUAAUUUGUAAAAAUAUUAGAUGAUGGUUGUAGGUAAAUAGUUAGGAGUGGGUAGGAAUUUAAGUUCAUAGGUAAUAAUACAUACAAAGUUAUACGAGAAAACGCCGAGUUAGUUAAUUGACUUAUACUCAUAGUAGCAAGUUUGAGUGGUUUAGAAAUGGAAGAAAAGGAUAAAAAUAUCCCUUGAGUUUUUUGGAUUCCUAAACUACAUAAAGUUCAUUUUAAAAUAAGAUUCAUAGCAGGAGCUAGUAACUGUACAAAGAAACAGCUAUCUAUUUUGGUUAAUGAUGCUUUAAAAGUUGUUAGAACAUAUUUUUCAAAAUAUUCUGAUAAAAUUUAUAACAGUUCAGGAAUUAAUUAUUCUUCAAAUAUUAGUUCAGCUAAGGAAUUUCUGGGAAGAUUGAUCAAAUGUAAGAAAGUUUAGAGUAUGUAUGUGCAUGGUUUUUCGACACUAUAUACAAACUUAAAUUUUAAAUAUGUGGAGGAUGGUAUUUUGAGAAUAUUAAACACUAUUUUAAUAAGACAUAUAAAUGUAUAUCUUUAAAGAAUGGUAACGGUUUCUUGUCUAAUUGCUGUUGUAGGGAUAUACUAAAAGAAAGAUGAAAGAAAUUAUUAGUUUUAUUGUUAAUAAUUCGUUUUAUGUUUGCGUGUAGGGUGUUUCGGCAAGUUAGGGGAUAUCCACUGGGUGGCAAUUGUAGCCCUCUGUUGAUGGACCUUUAUAUUUCUUCAUGCGAGUUCCUUUUCCUUAAAGACCUAUGCGCAAGGAAAAAGAUUGGUUUACUUAAUGGAUGCUGCAGAUACAUAGAUGAUAUAUUUAUACCUGGAGGUGCAAUGGCCCAGUGGUUAGGGCAGCGGACUCACGGUCGUAGGAUCGCGGUUUCGAUUCCCAGACUGGGCGUUGUGAGUGUUUAUUGAGCGAAAACACCCAAAGCUCCACGCGGCUCAGGUAGGGGAGGGUGGCGAACUCUGCUGUACUCUUUCACCACGACUUUCUCUCACUCUGUCUUCCUCUUU
rnacentral:lncRNA from 1 species